GAGGGGACAAGUAGACUGAAAUGAAAUGGGGCGAGGGGACAAGUAGACUGAAAUGAAAUGGGGAGAGGGGACAAGUAGACUGAAAUGAAAUGGGGCGAGGGGACAAGUAGACUGAAAUGAAAUGGGGAGAAGGGACAAGUAGACUGAAAUGAAAUGGGGAGAAGGGACAAGUAGACUGAAAUGAAAUGGGGAGAGGGGAGAAGUGUAG